rnacentral:rRNA from 1 species
CCCUUAGAUGUUCUGGGCCGCACGCGCGCUACAAUGGUCUUCGCAAACGGAUGCAUUCUCGAAGGAGAAUGCCAAUCUUGGAAUCUAUGCCUUGGUCGGGACAGUUGCUCGCAAUUUUUCGACUCGAACCAGGAAUUCCUUGUAAUCGUGAUUCAUCACAUCACGAUGAAUACGUCCCUGCCCUUUGUACACACCGCCCGUCGCUCCUACCGAUCGAAGAGUUAGGUGAAUUGUUUUGAUCGAUAAGAUUUGACUAUGGUCAACUCUCGUUGUGAAAUUCUGUGAAUCUGACUGUUUAGAGGAAGGAAAAGUCGUAACA